UACGUAGGGUGCGAGCGUUAAUCGGAAUUACUGGGCGUAAAGCGUGCGCAGGCGGCUUUGUAAGCCAGAUGUGAAAUCCCCGGGCUUAACCUGGGAAUGGCAUUUGGGACUGCAAGGCUUGAGUUUGGCAGAGGAGACUGGAAUUCCUGGUGUAGCAGUGAAAUGCGUAGAUAUCAGGAGGAAUACCGAUGGCGAAGGCAGGUCUCUGGGCUAGAACUGACGCUCAUGCACGAAAGCGUGGGGAGCAAACAGG
rnacentral:rRNA from 1 species